ensembl:lncRNA
GACAUUUGAGUAGAGAUAUCUAACAGGUAGCUGGAGAUGAGAGACUAGCACUCAGGAGACACAGGUGCUCAGACAGGGAGAUCUGGGAGUUAUAUGCAUAGAAAUUGUUAAAAACCAUGAGAACAACUGAACUCACAAAGAGAGGGUCAUAGAAAGAAACACAGGGCCAGGACAGGCCCUGGAGUACCCUCACACACAGUGAACAGGAUGGAUGACAAAUUUGCCAAGGAGCAGGAGAAGAAUCAUCCUGACAAGGAGGAAGAAAAAUACUUCAUAGCAUAUUGAAAACCCAGAAAAGAGUAUCUUCUCAUAAGGAGGGAGCUGUCAUGGUGAAGAAAGUCCAAGGGGGAUGAGGACUGAGAAAAAGCCAGUGAAGAGAUCAGUCAAGUGGUGGGGGCUGAAGUCAGAAUUCAAAGGGCUGAGAAAUGAUAAUGGUAUGACCAACCAGCAGAAGAAAGAUGGGGUGGGAGACAUAGAGACACAUAUCUCUGAACAUACCCACAAUAGACUCUUCUGUACAACAUUCUGGAGAAUCAAGAGAACCACCAAAAAAGCUUCCCAGGUUGGGCCAAAGGAAGAUUAUACUUUGGAAUAAACUCCUUCUGAUUCUGACUCAAUGGAAAAAGGUGGGGUUUGACACAGUUUCCUUUAUGACAAAACACCCAGCAUCCCAGAUGUCUGUCACAGAGACUCAUGUACUAUCUUUGAUAGUACAACAGGGGUCCAUGAACUAGAUGGGCCCCCCUGCGGGGAAUACGUUUCUGUUGAGAAUGCCUCAAAAACAACAGUCCCUACCUGCCCUUAUGGCCAUGGUGGAAACAACAAAGUGAUCAUUGAGUCUACUUUAUGUAGGCUAGUGGCCCAUGUAGAAGGGUGAACUCCUGGGGUGAAAAAAACCAUUUCUUUUUGAGAUCAGGUUAGAGAGUGGGCAGUUCAGGAAGCCUGUAGAUAAAGUGAACUACAUGCCUCGGCCUCAGGAUUAGCCAGACAGCUGGGAAGGCAGAAAGGGCAGUAGCAAAGGGAUCCUGCCAGUUAAGAAAGGAACAGGCUUCAGCAGAGAAUUCUAGAGGGGCUGGGGGUUACCCAAUAACCUAUCCUGUGGCAGGGAAAGAGCUGGAUGAGGCAGCAAACCAAUGACCUGACCCACCUUUUCCAGGACCAGUCUGACAAGGGUUUUAGAUCCGUAGGGCAAAACUGUGAGUCAGGCAAGCAAUGUUACAUAUGCUUCAUGGAGAGAAGGACAACAGGUUGGUUCCCAUUCUGCCAAGGGUGCUGUAGGCCCCCUCCUUGUCCCCACCCUAAACAAUGCUGGAGAUAAGGACAGGAUUACAUGGUGAAAUCCAAGUAAACAACCCUAGUUGGGGUGGCUACAGCCAAGCCCCAGCUACUAUCUGCAUGGAGGGACCACCUCAUUCAGCUUGCAUCCCUCUUUCCUCCUCAUCAUGGAGGGCCAGAAGGACGGCCACUACCAGUGGAUGGGGAAAGAGGUAAGAGGCUAGAACACAAUAUGUAUCUGCUUUCACCAUAAGAAUCUCAGGAGAGAGGGAGAGAAGAAGGGGGGGAGGGUGAAGUAAAGGUGAGGGUGAGGGUGAGAG